AGUGAACGCUGGCGGUAGGCCUAACACAUGCAAGUCGAACGGCAGCACAGUAAGAGCUUGCUCUUACGGGUGGCGAGUGGCGGACGGGUGAGGAAUACAUCGGAAUCUACUUUUUCGUGGGGGAUAACGUAGGGAAACUUACGCUAAUACCGCAUCCGACCUACGGGUGAAAGCAGUGGAUCUUCGGACCUUGCGCGAUUGAAUGAGCCGAUGUCGGAUUAGCUAGUUGGCGGGGUAAAGGCCCACCAAGGCGACGAUCCGUAGCUGGUCUGAGAGGAUGAUCAGCCACACUGGAACUGAGACACGGUCCAGACUCCUACGGGAGGCAGCAGUGGGGAAUAUUGGACAAUGGGCGCAAGCCUGAUCCAGCCAUACCGCGUGGGUGAAGAAGGCCUUCGGGUUGUAAAGCCCUUUUGUUGGGAAAGAAAAGCAGCAGGUUAAUACCCCGCUGUUCUGACGGUACCCAAAGAAUAAGCACCGGCUAACUUCGUG
rnacentral:rRNA from 1 species